CAGGAGUCUUCAACUCUCAACCUACAAGAAGAAGCAAUGGUGAGCAAGAAGUUGACCUAGUAAGAAAAAGGAUACAUAGUGUGAGAGUAUGAAACUAUUGUGAGAUGCUUUCUUUUAUGAAAUCCUUUCAUCCUACAACAGAGUGGAAUUAAUAUAUGAUUGAACAAGUUGAUCAAAAUGUGAAUGAAUCGUUUCUAGGUACACAACACUAUGAGCUACCACUAGUAAUGUAACUUAAGAAGGUGUGAAACUG